UUUUCAGUUGAUGGUGUUUUGUUGCCACUUGUGCGUGUGACCCACCAAUGUUUGCACACAUAUGCAUUCAUGCACAUACAGAAACACACCCACCUACACACACACAAACAGACACACACACACAUGUACACCCACUCA